UACUCGUCCUGCGGACAAGUUCCUUGGCCAAUGACGAUGCCAUCCUGGCAGAUCGAGUAGCCCCUGCAGCCAUCAUCCGACUCGUUGGCCAGCUGAAUGGUGGAAUUGCCCAAGCCCACGCAUCGAUCGUAGCCGCAUUUCACCUUGGAUCGCGGGACACAGGCUCCGCCAUCGGUGGCCAGGAAAAAUCUUCCAUCGGAGCAGACGCCAUGCUCCAGCGAGAACUCUCCAUUGCCCAAAUCCUUGCAGUAGUAGUAGCCAUUGCAGGUCUUGUUAUCCGAUAUAAAUCCACCCGUCUCUGGACAUACACCCUUCUUGCUAAUAUCUGGCACUGGGACGAAGUCACACUCCACAUUCUGCGGAUAAUCGCACUGGGCCGUGGAGGCCUUGAAGUAGAAGGUGCCCGGACAGGUUCCAUUGAUCACCUGGCCAUCCCAGCACAACUGAUAGCCAUUGCAGUUGUCCGUGUCCUUGACGAAGACCCCAUCCGGCAAGAUGUUGCAAUAGCUAUCCGGGUCCAUUUUAUUCGAGCACGGAAAAUCGCGGAUGCAGUCCUGCGUUCCCGAAUUGAAAUUCAUCCCAGUGUUGCACACUCCGUGCGUCCCCUUGCCAUCCUUGCAAUAGUAAUAACCAUUGCAGGAGUACGGAUCAGCCGCGAAUCCGGUGGGCAGAGCAGCGCACGGAUCACUGGACAGACACUUGAUACUACUGGAACUCAGGCAUUUCUGGCUCUCCCGGUCGUAGAAGAGUCCAGUCGCACAGCUACCACUCACAGGGCUCCCAUCGAUGCACUGAAUCCACGCGUUGCACGCCCGAGGAUCGUUCAUCUUGGUUCCGUUGACCACCAAGCUACAUAUUAGAGUUGCAUUGAAGGUCAGGGCGCCUGAUAUCGUGGGGAUCAUGAUGAGUCCGGAAAUGAAGGCGAGCUUUGUGUCU
ensembl:ncRNA asRNA:CR32224 antisense RNA:CR32224